GAUGAACGCUGGCGGCGUGUCUAAUACAUGCAAGUCGAGCGAACGGACGAGAAGCUUGCUUCUCUGAUGUUAGCGGCGGACGGGUGCGUAACACGUGGAUAACCUACCUACAAGACUGGGAUAACUUCGGGAAACCGGAGCUAAUACCGGAUGAUCUUUUGAACUGCAUGGUUAAAAAGUGAAAGACGGUCUUGCUGUCACUUAUAGAUGGAUCCGCGCUGCAUUAGCUAGUUGGUAAGGUAACGGCUUACCAAGGCAACGAUGCAUAGCCGACCUGAGAGGGUGAUCGGCCACACUGUUACUGCGACACGGUCCAGACUCCUACGGGAGGCAGCAGUAGGGAAUCUUCCGCAAUGGACGAAAGCCUGACGGAGCAACGCCGCGUAAGUGAUGAAGGUCUUCGGAUCGUAAAACUCUAUUAUUAGGGAAAAACAUAUGCGUAAGUAACUGUGCACAUCUUGACGGUACCUAAUCAGAAAGCCACGGCUGACUACGUG
rnacentral:rRNA from 1 species